GAUGAACGCUGGCGGCGUGCCUAAUACAUGCAAGUCGAGCGAACAGACGAGGAGCUUGCUCCUCUGACGUUAGCGGCGGACGGGUGAGUAACACGUGGAUAACCUACCUAUAAGACUGGGAUAACUUCGGGAAACCGGAGCUAAUACCGGAUAAUAUAUUGAACCGCAUGGUUCAAUAGUGAAAGACGGUUUUGCUGUCACUUAUAGAUGGAUCCGCGCCGCAUUAGCUAGUUGGUAAGGUAACGGCUUACCAAGGCAACGAUGCGUAGCCGACCUGAGAGGGUGAUCGGCCACACUGGAACUGAGACACGGUCCAGACUCCUACGGGAGGCAGCAGUAGGGAAUCUUCCGCAAUGGGCGAAAGCCUGACGGUGCAACGCCGCGUGAGUGAUGAAGGUCUUCGGAUCGUAAAACUCUGUUAUUAGGGAGGAACAAAUGUGUAAGUAACUAUGCACGUCUUGACGGUACCUAAUCAGAAAGCCACGGCUAACCACGUG
rnacentral:rRNA from 1 species